AUGCCCUUUCCUGAAUCUACACUUUGCAUAUUGAGUGGCAGGAAAGGGUGGCUAUCUGCAAAUUUACAUAUACAUACAGAGACACACACAGAUACACAUGCACAUAUUGUCAUGGCAAUUUACUGCUCCAGACCAGAUAUUCAGUAUCUGCAUCACUGCAGACCUUUCUCUAUUACAGUGUAGCACGAAUCCCUACAAAGGUAUAUCUAUUACGUGCAUGUCUGACCUGGACAGGCUGGAGAGGUGGGCCCAGGUGAACCUCAUGAGGUUCAACAAGAGCAAAUGCAAGGUUCUGCACCUGGGCCGGAACAAUCCUCGCCACCAAUACAAACUAGGGGGUGAGGGAUUGGAAAGCAGCCCUGAGGAAAGGGACUUGGGGGUGCUGGUGGAGGAGAAGCUGGACAUGAGCAGGCAGUGGGCAGCUGCAGCCCAGAAGGCCAAUCCCAUCCUGGGCUGCAUCAAAAGCUGCGUUGCCAGCAGGUCCAGAGAGGGGAUUCUGCCACUUUGCUCUGCUCUGGUGAGACCUCACCUGGAGUAUUGUGUGCAGGUCUGGAGCCCUCAAUAUAAGAAGGACAUGGACCUGAUGGAGAGGGUCCAGAGGAGGGCCACAAGGAUGAUCAGGGGGAUGGAGCACCUCUGCUACGAGGACAGGCUGAGGGAGCUGGGGUUGUUCAGCCUGGAGAAGAGGAGGCUCCGGGGAGACCUAAUAGCAGCCUUCCAGUACCUGAAGGGGCCUACAGGAAGGCUGGGGAGAACCUGUUUAGAAAGGCCUGUAGUGACAGGACGAGGGGCAAUGGCUUCAAGCUGGAGGGGAACAGAUUUAGACUGGAGAUGAGGAGAGGGUUCUUCACUGUGAGGGUGGUGGAGCACUGGAACAGGUUGCCCAGGGAGGUGGUUGAGGCCCCUUCCCUGGAGAUAUUCAAGGAGAGGCUCGACGAGGCCCUGGGCAACCUGGUCUAGUUGGGGGUGUCCCUGCUGACUGCGGGGGGGUCGGACUAGAUGGCCUUUGGAGGUCCCUUCCGGCCUGGGCAAUUCUAUGAUUCUAUGAAUGGAAA
rnacentral:lncRNA from 1 species